rnacentral:rRNA from 2 species
GGUUGACCUCGGAUCAGGUAGGAAUACCCGCU